UAGGGAAUCUUCCGCAAUGGGCGAAAGCCUGACGGAGCAACGCCGCGUGAGUGAUGAAGGUCUUCGGAUCGUAAAACUCUGUUAUUAGGGAAGAACAAAUGUGUAAGUAACUAUGCACGUCUUGACGGUACCUAAUCAGAAAGCCACGGCUAACUACGUGCCAGCAGCCGCGGUAAUACGUAGGUGGCAAGCGUUAUCCGGAAUUAUUGGGCGUAAAGCGCGCGUAGGCGGUUUUUUAAGUCUGAUGUGAAAGCCCACGGCUCAACCGUGGUGGGUCAUUGGAAACUGGAAAACUUGAGUGCAGAAGAGGAAAGUGGAAUUCCAUGUGUAGCGGUGAAAUGCGCAGAGAUAUGGAGGAACACCAGUGGCGAAGGCGACUUUCUGGUCUGUAACUGACGCUGAUGUGCGAAAGCGUGGGGAUCAAACAGG
rnacentral:rRNA from 1 species